ACCACCAUCAACAUCCAGGUCCUAUUUAUCUCCUGACCCCAGUGACCACCAUCAUCAACGUCCAGGUCCUAUUUAUCUCCUGACCCUAGUGAUCACCAUCAUCAACAUCCAGGUCCUAUUUAUCUCCUGACCCUAGUGACCACCAUCAUCAACAUCCAGGUCCUAUUUAUCUCCUGACCCUAGUGACCACCAUCAUCAACAUCCAGGUCCUAUUUAUCUCCUGACCCUAGUGACCACCAUCAUCAACAUCCAGGUCCUAUUUAUCUCCUGACCCUAGUGACCACCAUCAUCAACAUCCAGGUCCUAUUUAUCUCCUGACCCCAGUGACCACCAUCAUCAACAUCCAGGUCCUAUUUAUCUCCUGACCCUAGUGACCACCAUCAUCAACAUCCAGGUCAUAUUUAUGUCCUGACCCUAGUGACCACCAUCAUCAACAUCCAGGUCCUAUUUAUCUCCUGACCCCAGUGACCACCAUCAUCAACAUCCAGGUCCUAUUUAUCUCCUGACCCCAGUGACCACCAUCAUCAACAUCCAGGUCCUAUUUAUCUCCUGACCCCAGUGACCACCAUCAUCAACAUCCAGGUCCUAUUUAUCUCCUGACCCCAGUGACCACCAUCAUCAACAUCCAGGUCCUAUU